GACGAACGCUGGCGGCGUGCCUAAUACAUGCAAGUCGAACGCAGUGGGGACGGGUGAGGAAAACGUGGGUCACCUCCCAUCAGAGUGGAUAACCCUUGGCAACAGGUGCUAAAACCGAUACUGAUGGAUGGACCCGGGGUGCCUUAGCUAGUUGGUGAGGUAACGGCUCACCAAGGCCACGAUGCAUAGCCGAUCUGAGAGGGUGAUCGGCCACACUGGGACUGAGACACGGUCCAGACUCCGACGGGAGGCAGCAGUAGGGAAUCUUCGGCAAUGGACGAAAGUCUGACCGAGCAACGCCGCGUGAAUGAAGAAGGUCUUCGGAUCGUAAAACUCUUUUGUCAGAGAAGCGGUAUCUAACGAGAAAGCCACGGCUAACUACGUGCCAGCAGCCGCGGUAAUAC
rnacentral:rRNA from 1 species